rnacentral:sRNA from 1 species
AAACAUCGAAACGGCGAUCUCCUCCUCCCAACGCCUUUCGAUAUGGGUCGGCAACCCUCCUCCUCCCAGUUGCUGACCAGGUUUGAAGGCCCGACGGAUCUCCUCCCCCGUCGGGCUUUUCAU